rnacentral:rRNA from 1 species
AGGGUUUGAUCUUGGCUCAGAACGAACGUUGGCGGCGUGGUUGAGGCAUGCAAGUCGCACGAGAACGGAGCAAUCCUAGUAAAGUGGCGGAAGGGUGAGUAAUGGGUAGAUAACGUACCAUGGAGAUGGGCAUAACGGCUCGAAAGAGCCGCUAAUUCCCGAUAAGACCACGGCUGGGCAUCCAGUUGAGGUCAAUUGAGGGGGACCUUCGGGCCUCUCGCUCUGUGAUCGGUCUACUCCCUACCAGCUAGUAGGCGGGGUAAUGGCCCACCUAGGCUGCGACGGGUACCCGGACUAAGAGGUUGAACGGGCACAUCGGCACUGAGACACUGGCCGGACACCUACGGGUGGCUGCAGUUCGGAAUAUUCGGCAAUGGACGAAAGUCUGACCGAGCGACGCCGCGUGCGGGAUGAAGGCCCUCUGGGUUGUAAACCGCUUUAGGGAGUGAGCAAACUAUCUGAUGUGAACAUCAUCGGAUAUUGAGUUAAGCUCCUAAAUAAGCCCCCGCUAAUCACGUGCCAGCAGCGGCGGUAAUACGUGAGGGUCAAACGUUGUUCGGUGUCACUGGGCUUAAAGGGUGCGUAGGUGGUUACGUAAGUAACGUGUGAAAUCCCCCGGCUUACCCGGGGAAUUGCGCGUUAUACUGCGUGACUUGAGGACUGUAGGGGAAUGGGGAACUCCAGGUGUAGCGGUGAAAUGCGCAGAUAUCUGGGGGAAGGCCGGCGGCGAAGGCGCCAUUCUGGGCAGUUCCUGACACUGAGGCACGAAAGCGUGGGGAGCAAACAGGAUUAGAUACCCUGGUAGUCCACCCUAAACGAUGGAUAUUAGCUAGGGGGCCCUGCAAGGGGUUCCUUGGUGUAGCGAAAGCGUUAAAUAUCCCGCCUGGAGUAUGGUCGCAAGGCUGAAACUCAAAAGAAUUGACGGGGUCUCACACAAGCGGUGGAGCAUGUUGCUUAAUUCGAUACUACGCGAAGAACCUUACCCGGGCUCGAAGUGUACGGAUUAGUUCUAUGAAAGUAGAAUGACACCUUAACCGGUGGAACGUACAAAGGUGUUGCAUGGCUGUCGUCAGCUCGUGUCGUUAGAUGUCGGGUUAAGUCCCUUAACGAGCGAAACCCCUGUCCUUAGUUGCCAUCAGGUAAAGCUGGGAACUCUUGGGAGACUGCCGGUGUUAAACCGGAGGAAGGUGGGGAUGACGUCAAGUCAUCAUGGCCCUUACGUCCGGGGCGGCAAACGUGCUACAAUGGCAAUUACAGCGCGACGCAAUACCGCGAGGUGGAGCAAAUCGCUUAAAAAUUGCCUCAGUUCGGAUUGGGAGGCUGCAAUUCGCCCCCAUGAAGCCGGAAUCGCUAGUAAUCGGGGAUCAGCCACGCCCCGGUGAAUAUGUUCCUGAGCCUUGUACACACCGCCCGUCAAGCCACGAGAGCUGGGGGUACCCGAAGUCGUGAUAAGCGCCCACGGUAAACCAGUGAUUGGGACUAAGUCGGAACAAGGUAGCCGUAGGGGAACCUGCGGCUG